rnacentral:rRNA from 1 species
UGAGUAAUGUCUGGGAAACUGCCUGAUGGAGGGGGAUAACUACUGGAAACGGUAGCUAAUACCGCAUAACGUCGCAAGACCAAAGAGGGGGACCUUCGGGCCUCUUGCCAUCAGACGUGCCCAGAUGGGAUUAGCUAGUAGGUGGGGUAAUGGCUCACCUAGGCGACGAUCCCUAGCUGGUCUGAGAGGAUGACCAGCCACACUGGAACUGAGACACGGUCCAGACUCCUACGGGAGGCAGCAGUGGGGAAUAUUGCACAAUGGGCGCAAGCCUGAUGCAGCCAUGCCGCGUGUGUGAAGAAGGCCUUCGGGUUGUAAAGCACUUUCAGCGAGGAGGAAGGUGGUGAGCUUAAUACGCUCAUCAAUUGACGUUACUCGCAGAAGAAGCACCGGCUAACUCCGUGCCAGCAGCCGCGGUAAUACGGAGGGUGCAAGCGUUAAUCGGAAUUACUGGGCGUAAAGCGCACGCAGGCGGUUUGUUAAGUCAGAUGUGAAAUCCCCGGG